rnacentral:misc_RNA from 1 species
UACGGAGGAUCCGAGCGUUAUCCGGAUUUAUUGGGUUUAAAGGGUGCGUAGGCGGCCUGGUAAGUCAGGGGUGAAAGAUGGCAGCUUAACUGUCGCAGUGCCUUUGAUACUGCCGGGCUUGAAUGUACUUGAAGUAGGCGGAAUGUGACAAGUAGCGGUGAAAUGAAGAGAUAUGUCACAGAACACCGAUAGCGAAGGCAGCUUACUAAAGUAUGAUUGACGCUGUGGCACGAAAGCGUGGGGAUCAAACAGG